rnacentral:rRNA from 1 species
AACCUUGCCGCAGGCCUACACAUGCAAGUCGAGCGGUAGCACAGAGAGCUUGCUCUCGGGUGACGAGCGGCGGAUGGGUGAGUAAUGUCUGGGAAACUGCCUGAUGGAGGGGGAUAACUACUGGAAACGGUAGCUAAUACCGCAUAAUGUCGCAAGACCAAAGAGGGGGACCUUCGGGCCUCUUGCCAUCAGAUGUGCCCAGAUGGGAUUAGCUAGUAGGUGGGGUAACGGCUCACCUAGGCGACGAUCCCUAGCUGGUCUGAGAGGAUGACCAGCCACACUGGAACUGAGACACGGUCCAGACUCCUACGGGAGGCAGCAGUGGGGAAUAUUGCACAAUGGGCGCAAGCCUGAUGCAGCCAUGCCGCGUGUAUGAAGAAGGCCUUCGGGUUGUAAAGUACUUUCAGCGGGGAGGAAGGUGUUGAGGUUAAUAACCUCAGCAAUUGACGUUACCCGCAGAAGAAGCACCGGCUAACUCCGUGCCAGCAGCCGCGGUAAUACGGAGGGUGCAAGCGUUAAUCGGAAUUACUGGGCGUAAAGCGCACGCAGGCGGUCUGUCAAGUCGGAUGUGAAAUCCCCGGGCUCAACCUGGGAACUGCAUUCGAAACUGGCAGGCUAGAGUCUUGUAGAGGGGGGUAGAAUUCCAGGUGUAGCGGUGAAAUGCGUAGAGAUCUGGAGGAAUACCGGUGGCGAAGGCGGCCCCCUGGACAAAGACUGACGCUCAGGUGCGAAAGCGUGGGGAGCAAACAGGAUUAGAUACCCUGGUAGUCCACGCCGUAAACGAUGUCGACUUGGAGGUUGUGCCCUUGAGGCGUGGCUUCCGGAGCUAACGCGUUAAGUCGACCGCCUGGGGAGUACGGCCGCAAGGUUAAAACUCAAAUGAAUUGACGGGGGCCCGCACAAGCGGUGGAGCAUGUGGUUUAAUUCGAUGCAACGCGAAGAACCUUACCUACUCUUGACAUCCAGAGAACUUUCCAGAGAUGGAUUGGUGCCUUCGGGAACUCUGAGACAGGUGCUGCAUGGCUGUCGUCAGCUCGUGUUGUGAAAUGUUGGGUUAAGUCCCGCAACGAGCGCAACCCUUAUCCUUUGUUGCCAGCGGUCCGGCCGGGAACUCAAAGGAGACUGCCAGUGAUAAACUGGAGGAAGGUGGGGAUGACGUCAAGUCAUCAUGGCCCUUACGAGUAGGGCUACACACGUGCUACAAUGGCGCAUACAAAGAGAAGCGACCUCGCGAGAGCAAGCGGACCUCAUAAAGUGCGUCGUAGUCCGGAUUGGAGUCUGCAACUCGACUCCAUGAAGUCGGAAUCGCUAGUAAUCGUAGAUCAGAAUGCUACGGUGAAUACGUUCCCGGGCCUUGUACACACCGCCCGUCACACCAUGGGAGUGGGUUGCAAAAGAAGUAGGUAGCUUAACCUUCGGGAGGGCGCUUACCCACUUGGGUUCAGGGGGA